rnacentral:rRNA from 1 species
AUUGAACGCUGGCGGAAUGCUUUACACAUGCAAGUCGAACGGCAGCACGGGGCAACCUGGUGGCGAGUGGCGAACGGGUGAGUAAUACAUCGGAACGUGCCCAGUCGUGGGGGAUAACGUAGCGAAAGCUACGCUAAUACCGCAUACGAUCUACGGAUGAAAGCGGGGGACUCGCAAGAGCCUCGCGCGAUUGGAGCGGCCGAUGGCAGAUUAGGUAGUUGGUGGGGUAAAGGCUCACCAAGCCUGCGAUCUGUAGCUGGUCUGAGAGGACGACCAGCCACACUGGAACUGAGACACGGUCCAGACUCCUACGGGAGGCAGCAGUGGGGAAUUUUGGACAAUGGGCGCAAGCCUGAUCCAGCCAUGCCGCGUGAGUGAAGAAGGCC